rnacentral:rRNA from 1 species
UGAACGCUGGCGGCAGGCCUAACACAUGCAAGUCGAGCGGCAGCACGGGUACUUGUACCUGGUGGCGAGCGGCGGACGGGUGAGUAAUGCCUAGGAAUCUGCCUGGUAGUGGGGGAUAACGCUCGGAAACGGACGCUAAUACCGCAUACGUCCUACGGGAGAAAGCAGGGGACCUUCGGGCCUUGCGCUAUCAGAUGAGCCUAGGUCGGAUUAGCUAGUUGGUGGGGUAAAAGCCCACCAAGGCUACGAUCCGUAGCUGGUCUGAGAGGACGAUCAGCCACACUGGAACUGAGACACGGUCCAGACUCCUACGGGAGGCAGCAGUGGGGAAUAUUGGACAAUGGGCGCAAGCCUGAUCCAGCCAUGCCGCGUGGGCGAAGAAGGCCUCGGUUGUAAGACCGU